AAAGGAACAAAGAAGGAACUCCGGA
rnacentral:piRNA from 1 species